AACGAACGCUGGCGGCGUGCUUAACACAUGCAAGUCGAACGGGGUUACAUAGUGUAGCAAUACAUUGUGUAACUUAGUGGCGGACGGGUGAGUAACACGUAGGUAACCGACCCUAAAGCGGGGGACAACCCAGGGAAACUUGGGCUAAUACCGCAUAAGACCACGAUCUGGGAGGAUUGUGGUAAAAGUAGCAAUACACUUUAGGACGGGCCUGCGGCCUAUCAGGUAGUUGGUGAGGUAAUGGCUCACCAAGCCUAAGACGGGUAGCCGGACUGAGAGGUUGAACGGCCACACUGGAACUGAGAUACGGUCCAGACUCCUACGGGUGGCUG
rnacentral:rRNA from 1 species